rnacentral:lncRNA from 1 species
GAAGAGGAAGAGGAAGAAGAAGAGGUAGUGGAGGAAGAGGGGAGCAGGAACUCGGGUAUCGACCUUGGGUACACCGGUAUCGACCUCGGGUAACUUGCCAGAGGUAGGCAGCAUGCCUUGAGUAGCUGGGACAUAGUUGUUGCAGACGGCAGCGAUGGCUCACAUGGCUGUACACAUAAGGGAAGAGGACGGCAGCGGUGCUCAUGUGGCUAUGCAUGUACAGAGAAGAGAACGCGAACCCUAAUCCUGGUUUUA